UACGAAGGGGGCUAGCGUUGUUCGGAAUCACUGGGCGUAAAGCGCACGUAGGCGGAUCUUUAAGUCAGGGGUGAAAUCCCAAGGCUCAACCUUGGAACUGCCUUUGAUACUGGGGAUCUCGAGUUCGGGAGAGGUGAGUGGAACUGCGAGUGUAGAGGUGAAAUUCGUAGAUAUUCGCAAGAACACCAGUGGCGAAGGCGGCUCACUGGCCCGAUACUGACGCUGAGGUGCGAAAGCGUGGGGAGCAAACAGG
rnacentral:rRNA from 1 species